GACGAACCGUGCGAACGUUGUUCGGAAUCACUGGGCUUAAAGGGCGCGUAGGCGGGCUGCCAAGUCUGGGGUGAAAUCCCACGGCUCAACCGUGGAACUGCCUCGGAUACUGGCGACCUCGAGGGGGGUAGGGGCGUGCGGAACUGUGGGUGGAGCGGUGAAAUGCGUUGAUAUCCACAGGAACUCCGGUGGCGAAGGCGGCACGCUGGACCUCUUCUGACGCUGAGGCGCGAAAGCCAGGGGAGCAAACGGG
rnacentral:rRNA from 1 species